ensembl:lncRNA
CUGGAGGCGGUGAGAAAAUUGGAAGCUAUGGAAGGAACGAGUAGCGGGGAAGAAACAACGGCAGUAGAGCCACCAAGACCAGUGAAGUUUUCUCAUCAACCGAGGGAUAGAGAAAUGCUACAUGUUAAAAAGCUGGUGGUGGUAAUGCAACGUUCUCGCUCUGUCGCCAACCACCGUUAACCCCAUCGAAGACGAAGAGAAGAUGGUUGUCAAUUUUAAUUGAACGGAAAAACCAAAAACUCAAGAGACAUCACUACGGGAACCUGGAUGCAGCAAGGACACGUGCAGAGAGAAGUUGCACCGCAUUCCUAUGAGAUCCAAACGGGGCAUGGAUCACAACUUAGAGGAAACCGAGUGGCUUCGGCCGUUUACUCAAGGGACUGAGGAUCAUCAGGAGGACACUACUUAAGUGUCAAAUGCCUUCAGCAUUGGACAAAAGUCAGAAAACUGACAAUGAAUGCUGUUCAACUGCUUCAAUAAGUGCUUCAGCAGAACCAAAAAGGACUGCCAAAGCCUCAAAGGCUAAUUGAGAAUUGCAACAAAACAAAUAACCUGGACUGAAAGUUUGUGGAAACAAAUAGCCACAAUAGAGUAUUGUUGGACAGAGACUGUAUUUAUUUGUGGAAAACAAAUUCACUCAAUAUGUUUGCCUCCUUAAGUGAUGAGUGAGUCAAGCAGACCACCAUAGUCCCUGGGCCCAAGAACACCAUGGUAACCUACCUAAAUGACUACCGAUCUGUAGCACUCACGUCUGUAGCUGGUCAUGUAUGGCGUGGAGAGGUUGGACCCAGGUGCAGAGAAGAGACCAGAUGAGGAAUUAGUGGAUAAUGAUGAACAUCAAUACUUUACUGAGAAACUGUAGAAUCAGGAUCAAAGUACACUAGAAAAAUAACAAAUCCUAAGCCUCAAACUCACUCAGGAAACGAACGCACACGGUAAACAAGUCAAGCUUCUACAAAGGACCACAGAAAACGUACCUUUUUCAACAGGGACACAAUCAUGAACUAAUAAGACACACCUGAGUCCAAUAAACGUCUCUAGGGCGGUUUCUGCCGCCAGGAGGAACCAUGACAUCAUGGCUCAUAUCAACACUUUCAUCCCAGAAACCCUCGACCCACUCCAAAGAAUGCUGUUCAUUGACUACAGCUCAGCGUUCAACACCAUAGUGCCCUCAAAGCUCCUCACUAAGCUAAAGCCCCUGGGACUAAACACAUCCCUCAGCAACUGGAUCCUGGACUUCCUGAUGGGCCACCCCCAGGUGGUGAGAGUAGGUAGCAACACAUCUGCCACGCUGAUCCUCAACACUGGAGCCCCUCAGGGGUGCUCAGUCCCCUCCUGUACUCCCUGUUUACCCACAACUGUGUGACCAGGUACGACUCCAACACCAUCAUUAAGUUUGCAGACGACACAACAGUGGUAGGCCUGAUCACCAACAGCAACGAGACAGCCUAUAGGGAGGAGGUCAGAGACCUGGCCGGGUGGUUCUAGAAAUACAACCUAUCCCUCAACGUAACCAAGACUAAGGAGAUGAUUGUGGACUACAGGAAAAGGAGGACCGAGCAAGCCCCCAUUCUCAUCGACAGGGCUGUAGUGGAGCAGGUUGAGAGCUUCAAGUUCCUUGGUGUCCACAUCACUAACAAACUAGAAUGGUCCAAACACACCAAGACAGUCAUAAAUAGAGCACGACAAAGCCUAUUCCACUUCAGGAAACUAAAAAGAUUUGACAUGGGUCCUGAGAUCCUCAAAAGGUUCUACAGCUGCAGCAUCGAGAGCAUCCUGACUGGUUGCAUCACUGCCUGGUAUGGUAACUGCUCGGCCUCCCACCGCAAGGCACUACAGAGGGUAGUGUAAACGGCCCAGUAGACCACUGGGGCAAAGCUGCCUGCCAUCCAGGACCUCUACACCAGGCGGUAUCAGAUGAAGGCCCUACAAAUUGUCAAAGACCCCACCCACCCCAGUCUUAGACUGUUCUCUCUACUACCGCAUGGCAAGUGGUACCGGAGUGCCAAGUCUAGGGCCAAAAGGCUUCUCAACAGCUUUUACCCCCAAGACUCCUGAACAGGUAAUUAAAUGGCUACCCGGACUAUUUGCACUGUGUGUGUGUCAUGUACCAACUACCUCAAUUAGCCCAACUAACUGGUGCCCCCGCACAUUGGCUACCCGGACUAUCUGCAUUGUCUCCCGCCAACCCCUCUUUUACACUACUGCUAUUCUCUGUUUAUCAUAUAUGCAUAGUCACUUUAACCAUAUCUACAUGUACAUACUACCUCAAUUAGCCCGACUAACCGGUGCCUGUAUAUAGCCUCGCUACUGUUAUUCACUGUUUUUUUUUUUUUUUUACUGUUGUUUUUUAUUUCCUUACUUUAUCUAUUGUUCACCUAAUACCUAUUUUUCUACUUAAAAAUUGCACUGUUGGUUAGGGCCUGUAAGUAAGCAUUUCACUGUAAGGUCUACUACACCUGUUGUAUUCGGCGCACGUGACAAAUAAACUUUGAUUUGAUAA